UACGUAGGGUGCGAGCGUUGUCCGGAUUUAUUGGGCGUAAAGGGCUCGUAGGCGGCGUGUCGCGUCUGCCGUGAAAAUUCGAGGCUCAACCUCGAACUUGCGGUGGGUACGGGCAGACUAGAGUGUGGUAGGGGAGACUGGAAUUCCUGGUGUAGCGGUGAAAUGCGCAGAUAUCAGGAGGAACACCGAUGGCGAAGGCAGGUCUCUGGGCCACUACUGACGCUGAGAGACGAAAGCUAGGGGAGCAAAUGGG
rnacentral:rRNA from 1 species